GACGAACGCUGGCGGCGUGCUUAACACAUGCAAGUCGAACGGAAAGGCCCCUUUGGGGGUACUCGAGUGGCGAACGGGUGCGUAACACGUGCGUAACCUGCCCUUGCCUUCGGGAUAAGUUCAGGAAACUGGGGCUAAUACCGGUUAGGAAUCCUUGCUUCAUGGUGGGGGUUGGAAAGCUUCGGCGGGUUUGGAUGGACUCUCGGCUUAUCAGCUUGUUGGUGGGGUAGUGGCUUACCAAGGCUUUGUCGGGUAGCCGGCCUGAGUGGGCGACCGGCCACAGUGGGACUGAGAUAAGGCCCAGACUCCGACGGGAGGGAGCAGUGGGGAAUAUUGAACAAUGGGCGGAAGCCUGAUGCAGCAACGCCGCGUGCGGGAUGACGGCCUUCGGGUUGUAAAACGCAUUCAGCAGGGGCGAAGCUUGUGGUGACGGUACCUAAAGAAGAAGCACCGGCUAACUACGUG
rnacentral:rRNA from 1 species